rnacentral:misc_RNA from 1 species
AAAAAAGGGCAAAACCAUUAACAAUUCAUGAGAAACUUCUAAAUGCAGAUCACUAGAAAGUUAUUAUGAUUUUUGGCCACAGCAUCAUUGUUUCGGUGGGAGUUUAGCAGAUGAUAGAAAGCUUAAAUAUUGUGAUAAAGAUUGAACAUUGAAACUUGAAAGGGAUAAAUUAAAAAAAAAAAAUGUAAUGAAGAGCUUCCAACCCUUGCAAUGAU